AUGGGAGAAACUACGCGAGCUACCAACCAAAUGCACGCCAACAUACAGCUGAAAACAGUUUCCAUUCUUCCUGUGGCGCUAGUGCUUGCCUGGCAAUCAGGAGCUGCAGACAGAUUGUGGAUCAUACACAUGCCUAAUCUGCACAAAGUUCUGCUUCAAGUACAUCAUCAGGCAUUACUGCAAGAACUGCUCAGCUGGUUUGCAGAAACGGAUGCCUACAUUACAGGGACUUGGUCACCGACACCGUUGAGGUUGAACUCGAGCUCCUUCAAUCUGGGAAGUUUGUUGAUGCCGGAGAGAGAUGUGGAAGAUGACCAGACAAUCUUCUCGAGCCUAGGAGCAGAUCCUCUGGUGAAGACUAUCUUUGUGAUGGCCGAGCAGUCAACAGCAAGAAGGUUGAGCCACAAGAACUCAUCUUUUUUCAAUGUAAUCUUGUUUUGA
rnacentral:rRNA from 1 species